ACAGGCUGCCGCUCGCGCUUCCACCCUCCAUUCCGGCGUGUUUCGAUUAGAACAGUUCGCAAAGACACCUUGUUCCGAGAGGAUCCGCCGCGAUAUUUCGGAUUGCAAAGAAGUCAAGCCCUCCCUCCCGCCAGAAGCGGCAAGUGGACUAGUGGACAAGGGAGUACGUCACACGCCCUUCCUCUCAAUAGCUGGCAGCGUGUGGACUGCUGUGCCCUGGCUUGCUCUGCUCGUGCAUUGAGGUCUUCUUUUCUCUCCAUCGAUAAGGACGUAGCGGUGCCCCGGCACAGGUGGGAAGAGAAUGCACAGCGUUUCCGUGGCAGCUGCGUCUCAUGUUACCGCGGUCAACUCCGCCUUAGCGCGCGGCGCUGAGGCGUCCUCGGUCGAUGAUCCCUCAAUGGCAAACAAGUUCGAAGCUUGCUGCCGCGCCCUCAGUCACAAAGUCAAUAAGGCUGUUGUGGAGCAACUCCCAGCGCUACAGAAUGGCUCCGUUGUGGACCUCUCACACAACUACGUUGGCGCCGCCGGAUUGCAAGCGAUUGCGGUCAUUCUUCAGCACAACCCAAACGUAACCGAGGUACGCGCACCGCGCAACGGCCUCACGAACGACGCAGUCGUCCUCUUCUGUCGCGCCAUGCGAGGGCACCAGCAGCUGUCCGCGUUGGACUUGUCCGACAACCCGGACGUUUCUUUGGCCGGCGGGCUGGCCCUUGUGAACCUGGCACAGCAGACACCGUCCCUGCGUGUGGUAAAGUUGAAUGGCACACAUGUGCUUGCAGCGGUGCUCGAUAAGUUGACGCGCGCUCUCGAGUACAAUGCGUCGCACCACGGCACCACCUCGCCCGGUGUUGUCGCUGCACUGUCGACUGCAGCUGUGGUUGCCUCAUCGUCGACGUCGCCAUCAAGCGCUGCUGUGGCGAUGGCUGACGAGGCACGGACACUGCAGACUCUUCGCGCACGUGUGGAGGCGGCACUGGAGGAGGGCUAUCUAAUCCCGCCAGCAUCCCCGCAAACAGGCUGGCGUGUUCUCGAUGUGCCCAUUCUGGCACCCCCACUGUUGUUCGACAACGAGGUGCGUCUUUUGUGCAACGAGGUGUUCCCGCGACUCAAUCAGGAGUUCGCCUCGCACCGUGUUGUUCUCUGCCCCGUCGUCGUCGGCGGCGGUGCAGGGGCCGUCGAAGGCGAUGACAAGGUCAGUGAUAGCGCGGUUCGGCGGCGGCCUCACCGCACAGCCGGGUCGUACAACCGUGCACUGCACUUCCGCCCAGUCAGUGACGUUACCUCCAUCGUUGAGCGCGGGCGGUUUGUGACGAUCGAGCUCGUUGGCGACCUCCCCGGCGACUACGCGCAACUCGCGGCGAGUGCCAUGCUGAGAUUGCAGGGGAUCCCGCAGUCUACCCCCCAACGGGUAGAAAGCCAUGACGACGACGAGCCUGAGGAGGCCGCCGCGCCGCUUCAGCCGGUGCUGUACGAAGCGCAUGAAGCCGCGCUGCGCUACACUCGAUGGCUGCUCGUGGCGACGCGCCGCGACACGCGGACGCUUAAGGUGCCCGCCGCACUAGCGCCGCUGCUCACCGCCGACCCGAUCAUCGCACACCCAGACCGCCACCGGAGCGUCGUGCGCACGAUUUUCGUCGUCGACGAGGGCCCCUCCCCAACUGCUGCGGGGCCAGCGAAGGUAGCGGAAGGCAGCAGGACAGGGGCAACAUCGGCAUCCGGUGCUAUCCCCACCUCGCUCGAGUGGGACUACGCAACGGAAGAAUAUCAAUGGAGGCGGCACGUGGACUGGCGGGAGCAUGUUGUGGCCACGGCGCCGGUGGCGGAGCUCGUCAUUCCGCAGUACACGGCCACCUUCGACUGUAUAGACGCACAGGGUGGCGUGCGACUGAAGCACCUUGACGGGUUCCAGAUGGCCGUGUAUGCGCGACUCCGCACUGUUUUGGAGGCCUGCGUCGCCGCUGAGGCGCGUAAGCGUGAAGCCAGGGAGGCAGCCGAGUCGGACGCCGGGGCAAAGUCACUAAGCCGACUGCUGCGGAGCAUCGGAACGCAACGGGCGAGGGACACAACGUAUAUACAGGCCCUGGCCGCUGCCAGUAGCGGCGCGGCGAAGAAGAACCUCAUGAACCGCAUGAUAAUCUACGCUGCGAACCCGCCUAGUCGCAACAUGUUGCUUUUGCACGGCACGGACGCCGCCUCGCUCGCGAGUCUUAUGGCGCGUGGCGCCGCCCGCCUGCAGACGCUUCAGCACGCGUACACGUUGGCCGUCUACACGGCACGCUCAGCUCUUCUGCACGAGGAGCCGACAGAGCUUCGCAGCGUUAUGACCCACGUUGUGUCUCAACUGACGAAGGACGCGGCGGUGCUGCGCUACGUGAAUGCAGAGGUCGAAAUCGAGCGCUUGAGCGCGUUCUUCCUGCAGGUCAUAUCCGGCUCUCUGGCUAGUAAGAACGUCGGCAGGCCGCCGCAUGCCAGCGCUGCGACGACGGCAGCGGCCAGGGCCAUGUGCGAGGCAGGGCUGCCAGGGUACGUGGCCCAGUACACCUUGAACACCGACGAGGAAGCCAGCGCUGGCAACACGGCCUCCGCCCACGCCUUUGUCGUCCUGCUGGACGGCUUGGAAGAGUUGGCGAUGCCGGUGCAGCCAUGUGGUGCCCUCGUGCACCCGCCAGGGAGCAGCGGCAACAUUGCUGGUGGCGGCGGCGCGGAGCCAUCCAGCUGGUUGACAGAGAGGACUGCUCAGAUGUCCUUUUCGGCGGCCCCGUCAGGGGUGACGUCCAAGACUCAGUCGAAGCCACGGAAAACGCCAAUGGACUGGCUGCUGCCCCGUGCACUGGCUCGCUACGUUCGCCUUAUCGCCAGCUGUCUGUCGAACAGCGCUGCCUUUUCGUCUUUCGACCACCUUGGUCGCGAUAGUGUGGACAUGCUUAGCUUUGGUGCGGUGUCGGCGAACGAGGUGGAGCAGUACCUGUCUCCGGCUUCCCUCGCGCGCGCUGGCCUUGUGUUGUCAGAGGACGAAUACGAGUGCGCUCGCAGCAAGCGCGAUGCCCCGAUUGCGGAGUACAUGAACUACCUGCUAGAUGCCGCACGCAACGUGCAUGAGGCACCUGGAUUUCUGACGCAGCUGCAAGUGAUUCAGACGUUCCCGGACACCCUUCAGGAGGCCGCGCAGGGCGUGUAUGAUCGCCUCGUGCACACGUUUGGCCUUCCCGUCACCUGCCAUGUUCUGGGGUUGCUGAUGGCGUCCCGGUGGGGCCUGUUGCUGCCGGAGCUGCGCGACCUUUUGCCUAGUUUGUCUAUGUGCCGACUGCAGGAGCUGCUGCGGUUGCUGCGGCCCGCCCUCGAGCAGGAAGCACCGGUUGCAGCAGCGGAGAUGAUGGGCGUCGGCAGCGGCAACGUGCUGCUUGGUGCUGUACGCCUGACUGCCCCGUCGUUCCUCGAGGUGGUGCAACGCGAGUCCCUUAAGCGAGUCGCGGAUGAGCUGCAGGCCGAGAACGAUCAACGCGUCUGGCAUACGCAACUGGCACAGUACUAUCUCUCUAUCGUCUAUCGAUGGCUGCAACCUGGCGCGGCGGCGGACGCGGUGCCCGCCAAGGUGCGUCGCGUGAACGACGCGUCGGCUGCUGAGGCGUACGUUCGCCCUGAAACGCAGGCGCUGCAUCGACGCGCCAUGAAGGAGGUGAUUUAUCACAUGACGCAGAGCGGCGACUUCUGGUCGAGGAUGGAUGUGACGAUCUUGUCCGUGCCUUUCAUGGAGCAGGUUUACGAGUUCGGGCUGGGCUACGCCUACCUGCGCGACCUAACGGCAGCCUUCAACGAGCGCUACCAGCGCCACCUCCUUGGCGAGGACAUCGGCGAGCCAUCGUGGCAGCAGCACCCGCUCGCCACUGAAAACGACGGAGCCGAGAUCGCCGCGGUGGCGGCAGACGAGGCACAGGCGAGCAGCACUCCUGCGUCGGUCGAGUCGAGCCGCUACGCCCUUCCUGCAGUGCUGAUUCGCAUGCGAGACUAUAUCUGCUUUGCCCGCCAGUACGGCCUGCUUCUGUCUCUGCAUCCAACCCUCGUGGCGCAAGUCGCAUUGCAGAUCCCGGCGAGCCUCCUGAACUCUGUCCAACGUGAUGCCGUCACGUUCCUCUGCCGUCAGCUGCAGGACAACGGCGGAUUUGGGGGGAGCAGGGCAUCUCUGUCGCGCGUCUUCUUCUCCAUGACGCCCGCGGCAGCUAAAACAGAAGGGAAGCAGCCGAUUCAUCUGCGUCCCAUCACGUGCGCCGCCUUCCUGCCGAAUCGACUCUUUGUGGUGACGGCUAGCAGUGAUCGCUCGCUGGCGUGGGUGAAUCCAGAGAGCGGAAAGGUGGCGUGGUACGCCCGGCAACCGACGGCAGCGGUGGAGUCGCUCACGGUGUGCCGCACUAGUGCUUACGUCGCUGCUGUGUCGGAGGAUCGCACGGUGUGGGUGUACGACGGCCUCCAGGGCACUCUCGUCUCGCAGUGCCGCGGAAGCAAGUGGUUUGAUGCCCCCAUCGCGUCCCUCACAUUCUCGGCUAGGGGUCGCUAUCUCUGGGUCGUGACAACGGACGCGCGCGUGCGCUGCUUUGCCUGCGAGUCUGGCCAGCUGCGGUGCACGAUGAGCUUGUCGAAGUUGUUGCAGGUGUGCGUCGAUGAGGCAUCGGCUAACGGGGAGAAGACGCAGCUGGUGGGUGCAGGGGCUACCGCAGCAGAGGAGGGGAUGCCCCUCGCCUCUGGUGAGUGGCGCCAUCGCCGCCACUAUCUGCACGUGCUCGUAGACGCUGAGGACGACGAAGUGUGCACGACGGUCGUGGCAACGGAGCUGCGGCAGUGGCGUCUGCGUCCGUGGGAUGAGCUACUGCCGGCGACAGAGGAAGUCGGCCAGCCAGCACACAAGAGCACAACCCUCAUUGCGUGUGAGAUGACAAUGCGCUGCUCUCUUAGCAAGGCGCCAGCAAGUGCCUCGGAUGGUCCGCUAGGGUAUAAGUUCAUGAAGUUAUGGGAGCCGGCUAGCGUGCGGCCACCCCACAUGUGCAUUCUGGCGGCGCCACACACCGAACCCGAGGUGCAGCUAUUCACGCUGGAACACACCACUGGCAAUCCACGGCUGGUGGUGCGGUUCCCGCUUGUCGCGUCUUCGAGCAGCGACUCAGGCGCGGCGCCAGCGGCACAGGAAGUCUCCCUGAUGUGCACGUCGCCGGACGGUCGAUGGGUCGCCGUCGGGUUGAUUGGCGGCGCUGUCAGCCUCUUCUGCAUCGGCGCUGCAUAUCACGCGUCGCAGAGGCAGCAGCAGCACCAGGCGGGCGGAGCCCUGGUGUGUAGGCCGACGUGCGUCUACACGAGUCUGAUGCCGACACCAGGUAUGUCGGCAGCUCCGCUGCGCUCUCUUACGUUUCACCGCGAUGGCCUCUUUUUGUUUGCACUUGGCAACUGCCUUGCCUGCUGGCGCCUGCCCGACGCCGCUUCUGUGACGCUCCAGACCGACGCAGCGGAGGCCGUGCGCAGCACCGCAGAUGGCCAGUACUUGUGUUCACACACACCGACGUGUCUCGCCGUGCUGCCGCCACCGACGCCAUGCAAGAGCGACGCGGAGCUACCUAGAAACAUCGCUGAAGUGGCCGUCGGCGAUGACACGGGCCACGUGACUCUACUCACGUUGUGGCGGCAGCUCAUCUAGAGAGAGAAAUCGAAAAAGCGCUUUGAAGCGGAGUGAAGAAGCGAUGGCGUGCCGGCCGGCGGCACGUCGGGUGGGGGGAUUCGAUUGCCAGCGGGUGCAGUGAAGACGUGGUGCUCUCUCUCUCUAUCUCUUUGCGCGGCUCUGUGUGUGUGUGUGUGUCCUGUGUUGGGUGCGCUUUAGUGUGUGAUGGGGCUCUCUCGGUCCCGCAAGCGUUUAUAUGCGACUCGGUCGCCUUUGUUUUACUGGCUCGCUUGCUUUCUUUCUUUUCCCGCAUCUCUUUUCCGUGGUCCCUCCUCCGCGUACUUCCUCUCCUCUCAUUUGGCGCGCGCGCGUCUGCCUGUCUCUCUGUGUGCGUGUGCCGGUUCUGUCGUCCUAUCGUUGUCCUUCUUCAACUUUCCACUUGACCCCCUCACCCCAAACUGAGUGAGGCGCACCAGAACGGCGAAAAGGGAGCUGAAAUGUGAACGAGCGACAAAGAGAGCAGACUCGCGCGCGGUCUCAGCGAGUUGUUCAAAACCGCCACACGUAUACCUUCCUCCCUCCUCGUCAGUUAUGCCGCAUCGGCACCACAGGCUCGACGAGGAGAACCCGCGCCCCUCUCUUUUCUUUCGGGUUCGAAAGGAGGCACGAUGUACAGUAGCAGCGGGCGUUUUUUCUUUUUCUUUAUUACGUUUCUUUUCUUUGGAAUAUCACACGGUUUUGGUAUGCUGAGGGCAUGUGACACACGUGCCACCGCCACAUGUGUCUGCGUGUGUACGGCAUGCAUGUAUACAUGCGUGUGGGUGCCGGGGUGGUACGUUGGGGAACGUGCGAUGACCCGUUUUACUUUUAGAUAGAGGUGCUCGAAUCCCUCUCCCAGUGUCGCUUGCCCGAUUCAAUCAUGUAUUCUUCACGUCUCUCCUCUUUUUUCGCCUUUGUGACGUUGCACGAUGCAGAGUUGCGUUGUGUGUGUUUGUGUGCAGCGACGAAGGAAACCCAAGAAAACAGAAUAGAUGGGGUCAAAGGCCAAGAAAAAGUAAUCCAGCGGCGCCUGCAGCUCCUCAAGUUCAGAGACGCAUACAUACACACAGACCUACGCUCAGGCCUCACCGGGCACUU
rnacentral:misc_RNA from 1 species